UACGUAGGGUGCGAGCGUUAAUCGGAAUUACUGGGCGUAAAGUGUGCGCAGGCGGCAGAGCAAGUCGAGUGUGAAAGCCCCGGGCUUAACUUGGGAAUUGCGCUCGAAACUACUUUGCUGGAGUGUGGCAGAGGAAGGUGGAAUUCCACGUGUAGCGGUGAAAUGCGUAGAGAUGUGGAGGAACACCAAUGGCGAAGGCAGCCAUUCUGGGCCAA
rnacentral:rRNA from 1 species